CCUGUUUUAAGACACCACGAAUAUGAAAUGUGAUCAAAUUUUAUUUAGUUAGCACUUAGUUACAGGUGGUAAUUAAAUACAUUUUAAAUAUGCCUACAUAAAUAGUAUGUUAAAAGCACAUAAAUCAAUAAACAGGAAGUGUGAACUAUAACUUCUCCCGGAGCAGGAUAGCUCCGCUACAUCAACUAUGACUAGAUAGAGCGGAACUAUUACUAUAGCAACGAUUUCAACUUAAGAGUUUGUCUCUGAGGAGGCUUAAAUACUAAAGGCUAUUUUUUAGAAUACAACUAUAAAUUUAGUGUGCGGAAAAGAGCAAUUUAAGUAUAUUUUGAAAGUGUACUUUUUAGCAAAGAGCCACACACACCACUAUAGUUAGCCUAGGCUUACGGAGCCGCACUGCAAAUUUUUUCUAAUCUAUCUACUUUUUUGUCAUAAGGUAGUAUAACGCAAGUUAUGUUUCCAUAGAUACACAUUAAAAAUGUCAUAUAUAAAAAUAUAUAUUAGUACUUCUUGGCUGCUUGCUCGUGCCAACCCCGCGGAACCUGGAAUAUAAACUGGUCUGUGACCGUCACGCGCAGUGCACCCGACUCACUUCUGAGUGGACCACACUACAGCCGUUUUUCUGAGAUGCAGUCAAAAUGUGAAACAGCAAGGCCACCGAUCACAUCAUAGUCAAAGCCAUGGGAGACGACACGGCGCCUGGGCGAUCUGGCGAUACCGGGCACCGUGCAAACUAAAGUGUUCUUAUUACAUUUUGUUAUUCAAAUGUUUCGAUCAUUUGUAUGUUAUGUAACUGACAAUAAAUGUUUCGUAGUACUUUUA